AGAACGAACGCUGGCGGCAUGCCUAAUACAUGCAAGUCGAACGAACUCUUCGGAGUUAGUGGCGCACGGGUGCGUAACGCGUGGGAAUCUGCCCCUUGGUUCGGAAUAACAGUUGGAAACGACUGCUAAUACCGGAUGAUGACGAAAGUCCAAAGAUUUAUCGCCAAGGGAUGAGCCCGCGUAGGAUUAGCUAGUUGGUGAGGUAAAGGCUCACCAAGGCAACGAUCCUUAGCUGGUCUGAGAGGAUGAUCAGCCACACUGGGACUGAGACACGGCCCAGACUCCGUACGGGAGCAGCAGUAGGGAAUAUUGGACAA
rnacentral:rRNA from 1 species